rnacentral:rRNA from 1 species
GAGUUUGAUCCUGGCUCAGGAUGAACGCUGGCGGCGUGCUUAACACAUGCAAGUCGAACGAACCUUCGGGUUAGUGGCGGACGGGUGAGUAACGCGUGAGAAUCUGCCCUCAGGAGGGGGAUAACGGCUGGAAACGGCCGCUAAUACCCCAUAUGCCGAGAGGUGAAAUGAAUUUCGCCUGAGGAUGAGCUCGCGUCUGAUCAGCUAGUUGGUGUGGUAAAGGCUCACCAAGGCUUCGAUCAGUAGCUGGUCUGAGAGGAUGAUCAGCCACACUGGGACUGAGACACGGCCCAGACUCCUACGGGAGGCAGCAGUGGGGAAUUUCCGCAAUGGGCGCAAGCCUGACGGAGCAACGCCGCGUGAGGGAUGAAGGCCUCUGGGCUGUAAACCUCUUUUAUCAAGGAAGAAGAUCUGACGGUACUUGAUGAAUAAGCCACGGCUAAUCCGUGCCAGCAGCCGCAGU